rnacentral:tRNA from 1 species
GCCGCUCGCGCCUGUUGGGACGGGGCACCGGUCUCUUACGCCGGGGUGAAGGGGUUCGAAUCCUCUGGGCGGCA